GUACUCGCUUCAGCAGCACGUAUACUAAAAUUGGAAUGAUACAGAGAAGAUUAGCAUAGCCCUUGCACAAGGAUGACACGCAAAUUCGUGAAGCAUUCCAUAUUUUU
rnacentral:snRNA from 1 species